AUAAUUAAAAUUAAAAUUUUCAAAAUAAAGGAGACUAUUUUGGUCAUUUUCCUUAUUUAAUGCUAUUUUGUGACAAAAACUUAAAAGAUCUAUUUGAGAGAAAUGCCCUACAAUAUAAGAAAAAAUAAGUAAUAAGUAAAUAUACAAUACGAGAAAUGAAAAAAUAUAUCAAACAUCUAUCUGAAAAAUGUAUAGUUUUCUAAUUUUUUCAAAUGAAAUAUGUAUUCACACAAGCAUACAAUUUAGAAUUUGUUGUUGUUUAGAAUACAACGUUCAAAAAAAUAACUAUAUGGUUAACAUUUGAAAAUAAAAAUAGCUCCGCGCGUAACGCGGAUUAACUCUUAGUCUAAUACUAUAAAUAAGACUUUAUCUCUUCUCUGGUGUUGCCACAUCAGUAAAUAGGUGAUUCUGGGAGUGACACGUGUCCCGCCUAAUAAAAACGCACUGUUUCAUUAAUCAUUUAUUCUAAUUUGAUUUGGGCUUCUGGUGACACUUAGAGCAGCUGCAACGGGAGAUCGUUGAUGGUCCUUAGCGCAUAAUCAUAUGCUUUUGGGAUUAUAAUAAUAUUAUUUGAGCUAAAUAAGCUAAGGAUUAAUCCUUACAUAAGGAUUUAAAGGAUUUGAUCCUUAGAGACGUGGCAGCGGGUGAUUCGUUGGUCGGCUUUCGUCUUUCGUAUACCAAAAAAAAAAAAUCAUUUUCGAUCGAAGCGGAGAAAAAAAAAAGCUCUCGAGGAAAGGCGAAUUGGAACCGUCCCGCUACGAAGGUAAAAUCGAACCCUUCUCUUGCUGAUUUAGGGAUUUAGAUUAGGUUCGAUGUUGUUUUCCUGUCAAUUUAGUGUUCGGUUUUGUGUUUUCAAUCGAUUUGGGGUCAUUUACGUUUGAAAUUAGGUUUUUAAUCGAUUUGGGGUUUAGGUCGUUUGUAGUUAGGGUUUGAAAAGCAUUUUGGUUUCAAACGAUUUGGGGUUUAAGUCGUUUGUAGUUAGAGUUUUGUGUUUUCUGCUCAAGUGUUUUCGUUUGUUCUUAACUCGAUCCCUCUGAUUUGAUAAUCUUUGGUGAUGAUUUGUUGUCCUUUGUUCUUACUCGGGUUUUUAAUUGAUUUGAUAAUCUUCUCGUUUGUUCUUUUAUCCCUUUACUCUGAUUUAGUUUGCUUGGAAACUCAUUGUUGAUAUUGUUUACAUUCGUUUCUUGUUUGCAGAUGGCGAAUCCACAUGAACCUCAUUUCUUAAAGCCUCUGCUUCAUGGUUUCCACAGUGGCAUCGUAAGAACCUCACUCUCUCUAUUUGUUUACAUUCGUUUAUUGAUUAGAUGUAUUUCUUGUUUGAUUAACUUUGCCUUUUCUUGCAGACAAUACCACUUGGCUUCUUCUCAAAGCACAUAGAAAGGAAGACGAACCAGAAAACAUGGAAACUAAGAUCGGACGCUUCAGAUAAAAUUUGGGAAGUGAUACAAGAAGGCAUGAGACUCACCGGAGGUUGGAAAGAUAUCGCCACAGCACAUGACCUUCGAAUCGGUGACAUUGUCAUCUUCAAACACGAAGGAGACAUGGUGUUUCAUGUCACUCCUUUUGGUCCUAGCUGUUGUGAGAUUCAAUAUACAGAUCCUGACAUCAACAAGGAAGAAGCCGACGCGGGUGAUGCUGAUGACAAUGAGAUUAGUAAGUUUCAAUCAAACUUGUUUCCUCUUUUACUACAUUGCUUCUGCUUUAACUUGUUUUGUCUUGUUCUGCAGCUCACAUUGCUUCUAGCUCACAGAUGAUUUAGGAGUGAUUGUGACCGGAAAUAGAUAUCUCUUUUGCUGUGUUUCCUCUCUAUCAAACUUGUUUCCUCUCUUGCUAGUUAUCUCUUUCGGUUUGUUUCGUCUCUAUCAGAACUUGUUUCCUUUUCUUUCCUUUUGGUACUACUGUAAAAUCUUGUUGCUACAACUCGAAGUUGCCACAAGUGUAAUCUUGUUUCUUAUCUUAUAUGUUUCUCUUAUGUUAUUUUCGGCUAAGGCUACUGUGUUAAACUUGAAUUUGGCUUGAAUUUGGCUUGUAAAGAUUUUUAAACUUGUAUCAAACGUAGAUAUUUUUAAACUUCUAUCACACUUAUAGAAACCAUACUAAAUGAAACUUAUAGUUUUAAGAAGAUAAACUUAUACAUAAGAUAAGAAAAACUAAUAGAAAUUCUUUACCUUAUAGCUUACAAAUUUUUUUAAAAAAAAUUGACAUUGUAAAACUUAUAGUUUUUAAACUUAUACAUUUUUAAACUUCUCUUUUUUUGUAUCUUUAUUUUUAAUCAUGCAAUUAAUAAAAUUUCAAUUUCAAUUUAAAAAGAAAAAAUUUAUUCCUAAGGACUCCAUCUUCGGUAACACCAUUAGACGAGCAAUUUUGAUUCGAAUCCUUAACUAUUCAAACAACAACCAAAAAAAAAAAAAAUUAUUAAAAAAAUCCUGAGGAUUCAUGGGUUGGUCUCACCAUUGCACAUGCUCUUAAUACGCUUAACUUUUGACGUUUUUAUGGUACAAAGCCCUAUAGCCCAACAAAGUAAAUUCUAAUUGUGUUCGACGCGAAGACAUCAAAGUUCAAUGUUCGUCCUCUCUGUUCAGCGGUGACCUCUGAUCUUCGUCACUGAAUCUGAAACAGUCGGAGUUAUGUGUUCGUCGUGUGGUGUUAAAUCCUUAUUAAUUCAAUCCACCACGAUGAGGCGUUGAAUGCGUGCUAAGCUUUGUUGAGUCGGUAGAUCUGCGAAUAUAAAUAAGUCUGUAUUUCUAAAGUUUCAGAGAUAAGAAUGGCCAACUCCGUUCUUCUCCUCCCUAAUUUGAAGCCGGCCGUUGUCCCAAUCUCCCUCAGAUAUUCUUAUAUCAUCCCUCCGAAACAUUACUGUAGAUAACACGGACGUUGAACACCCCUCUGUAACUUAUGAUGCAAUCAUUCAAUCGGCCUAAUUGUUUCUUUCACACCACUAGAAGAAAGAAUUGGAUCACAGUGAAACAUACUAAACGGCGCAGUCGGCAAUUUCCUCCUCCUCCUGGCUUACCCAGCAUCUGGAACUUGCACCAGCUAGGCAAGUAACCACAUCAGUCUUUAUGGAAACUCACGAAGAAGUAUGAUCCUGUAAUGUUCCUGACACUUGAAAGAGUCAGUUAUAGUUUCCUCCCCUGAAACAGCGUGGAAGGUAUGUAUAUAUUUUCAUAACUUCAGUUUUUUUCCUACCACUCCCGGCAAUGAUUAAAUAUUGUGCCAGACGAAAUAGAACAACUAUAAUGAAGUCACUCACAGAUACAUUGAAGUCAUGUUGACCACGGUCUACCUAAGCAACUUAAAUUUGGUAAAAAAUGCAGUUCGUACAUAUCUCCCAUGAAUGAUGUGGUCUUAGAAAUGGAAAGAACCUAGUGGAAUGUAAUAUAUUACACAUAGAAUUUGUUACACUUCAGUUGGUGCGUACGCAGGACUUGGAGCAUCCAUGGCUGAGUAGAAUGUGGGACAUCAGCCACCAUGGCUUUCGGUCAACUACAUAAUCACAAAAAGGCCACCAGAAAGUUAAGCAAACCAAACAAAAAGAUAUUGCAAAAGCAAUGUUUAACUUUUUGCUACUAACCAAAUAAAACAAAUAACUUACGUAUAUAGAUUACUUAAACUUGCGUGUGUGACCAUACGUCCGAAACAAAAUUUAAGAUAUAAGAACUUAUAUCGUAUAACAAAGUGAAAAUUUUACGGUUAACAAAUAACAAAUAUCCCACAAGCUUAAAGGGUUUUGCAGAUUGUUCAAGGAUUUUCAGAUGAACCAAAAUUUACUAGCUUAAAACUUUCCGUUGUUACCAUGAAGCAUGUGUUGUAAUGAUUUAAAACAGUCUGGACUUACAUAUUGUAUAUUGCUAUUUGUAACUGAAGUUUGUUAGUACGGGUGGGAAAACUGCAGUGCCACUAUGCAAAACGUUGUAAAUAGUGAAUCUAUUAGUAAAAAAGGUGAAAGUUCAUACCCA